UAUCCAACUACAUACACAAAGACACACUCUUGAUAUUACAAUUCUACUUCUGGGAAUGCAUCAUAGACAUGCUUGACGACACGAGACACGACAAUGUUAAUCACCACUGCAUUGCUUGUACCAGCAAAAUUUAUAACAACCUAAGUAUCUAUAAAGGGGGACAGAGUACAUUUGUAUCCCUCUCCUAUUGAAGAAUGUUGAAGUGUUUUUCUAAUUUUGCUAUUACAAAGAACAUUGAUUGCACUGACAUAAAAAAAUUAUGUCAUAUGCCCCAUCUGAUGACAAUUCAAGGUAUCAUGUGAGUCUCCAAAUAAAUUAUAAUAGAGUCCUCAGAUGCAUUGGAAAGGAUAAGGGGGACAGUGCAUGUGUAUGUGUGUGUGGAAAGGAAUAUUAAAAUUAUUCCAGGGGUUAGUUUUUUGAGUGGGAGGGACAACAGUAGUACUUUAAUCAUGUCCUGGUGAAGAAAAUAGAGUAAAUCUUACGCCUCUCCAACG